rnacentral:rRNA from 1 species
UACGUAGGGGGCUAGCGUUGUUCGGAAUUACUGGGCGUAAAGCGCACGUAGGCGGGUCGUUAAGUCAGGGGUGAAAUCCCAGAGCUCAACUCUGGAACUGCCUUUGAUACUGGCGACCUAGAGUUCGGAAGAGGUUAGUGGAAUUCCCAGUGUAGAGGUGAAAUUCGUAGAUAUUGGGAAGAACACCAGUGGCGAAGGCGGCUAACUGGUCCGAUACUGACGCUGAGGCGCGAAAGCGUGGGGAGCGAUCCGG